rnacentral:rRNA from 1 species
GACUACCUGGCUANUGCGAAUGCAUAGACUUAAUUGAUCAUGGCUCAGAGCCAACGCUGGUAAGUAGGCCUAACACAUGCAGUCGAACGGCAGCACAGAGGAGCUUGCUCCUUGGGUGGCGAGUGGCGGACGGGUGAGGAAUACAUCGGAAUCUACUCUGUCGUGGGGGAUAACGUAGGGAAACUUACGCUAUACCGCUCGACCUGGGUGCGGGAUCUGCCUUCAU